CAAGUCGAACGAAGGCUUCGGCCUUAGUGGCGCACGGGUGCGUAACGCGUGGGAAUCUGCCCCUUGGUUCGGAAUAACAGUUAGAAAUGACUGCUAAUACCGGAUGACGACGUAAGUCCAAAGAUUUAUCGCCGAGGGAUGAGCCCGCGUAGGAUUAGCUAGUUGGUGUGGUAAAGGCGCACCAAGGCGACGAUCCUUAGCUGGUCUGAGAGGAUGAUCAGCCACACUGGGACUGAGACACGGCCCAGACUCCUACGGGAGGCAGCAGUGGGGAAUAUUGGACAAUGGGCGAAAGCCUGAUCCAGCAAUGCCGCGUGAGUGAUGAAGGCCUUAGGGUUGUAAAGCUCUUUUACCCGGGAUGAUAAUGACAGUACCGGGAGAAUAAGCUCCGGCUAACUCCGUGCCAGCAGCCGCGGUAAUACGGAGGGAGCUAGCGUUAUUCGGAAUUACUGGGCGUAAAGCGCACGUAGGCGGCUUUGUAAGUAAGAGGUGAAAGCCCAGAGCUCAACUCUGGAAUUGCCUUUUAGACUGCAUCGCUUGAAUCAUGGAGAGGUCAGUGGAAUUCCGAGUGUAGAGGUGAAAUUCGUAGAUAUUCGGAAAACCCCGUGGCCGAAGGGCGGCUGACUGGACAUGUAUUGGCCCCUAA
rnacentral:rRNA from 1 species